rnacentral:tRNA from 1 species
GUCCAGGGAUGGGAAUCGAACCCAACAGUGUUCCGCAUACCGGGCAGAUGCCAUGUCCACUAGGCUACCCUGGA